rnacentral:rRNA from 1 species
UACGUAGGGUGCAAGCGUUGUCCGGAAUUAUUGGGCGUAAAGAGCUCGUAGGCGGUUCGUCACGUCGGCUGUGAAAACCUGAGGCUCAACCUCAGGCCUGCAGUCGAUACGGGCGGACUUGAGUACUGCAGGGGAGACUGGAAUUCCUGGUGUAGCGGUGAAAUGCGCAGAUAUCAGGAGGAACACCGGUGGCGAAGGCGGGUCUCUGGGCAGUAACUGACGCUGAGGAGCGAAAAGCGUGGGGGAGCGAACAGG